AUUGAACGCUGGCGGCAGGCUUAACACAUGCAAGUCGAGCGAACAGAUGAAGUGCUUGCACUUCUGACGUUAGCGGCGAACGGGUGAGUAACACGUAAGGAAUCUACCUAUAAGCGGGGGAUAACAUUCGGAAACGGGUGCUAAUACCGCAUAAUAUCUUCUUCCGCAUGGAAGAAGAUUGAAAGACGGCUCUGCUGUCACUUAUAGAUGACCUUGCGGUGCAUUAGUUAGUUGGUGGGGUAACGGCCUACCAAGACGAUGAUGCAUAGCCGACCUGAGAGGGUGAUCGGCCACAUUGGGACUGAGACACGGCCCAAGCUCCUACGGGAGGCAGCAGUAGGGAAUCUUCCGCAAUGGGCGAAAGCCUGACGGAGCAAUGCCGCGUGAGUGAAGAAGGCCUUCGGGUCGUAAAACUCUGUUAUAAGAGAAGAACAAAUUGUAGAGUAACUGCUACAGUCUUGACGGUAUCUUAUCAGAAAGCCACGGCUAACUACGUGCCAGCCGCCGCAGUAA
rnacentral:rRNA from 1 species